UGAAGAUCAGUUAAAAUAAAGUUAAAAAAAAAUUUGGGUUACCUCUCAAAAAAUGCUAAGUUUCAAGUCUUCAGUCGGACUGAACCCGUGAUAUAGAAUCAAUCAGAAUAAAUAAGCUCAUAGAGAACUAUGGCCUCCUCCUCAAUUUUAGUAGGCAACUCUAAGAAUGGUUUCAAUUAUUGUCCAUUUACUUUAAAAGUAGCACCAUUGCUUGGGUUUUUGAUCUCUACAGCCCCAUGAGAGAAAACUUCUUUUACUAUAUAGGACCCUAUCCAUCU
rnacentral:lncRNA from 1 species